UCAAGACGGGGAAUGAGAACAACACGGUCAAAAUAGUAAUUCAGGCCCCUGCCUCCUCCUCUGGUGAAUGUGUGGAACCUGAAACCAAGCACAGACGAAACACUCCACAAAUAAUUGUUCAGAUUCGAGCCAACAUGUGAA